GCUGUGAUGGUGUAAUGGUAACAUCUAAGUUUCCCAGUAUUCUCACUAUGAAUUACUUAGGCCCCGAGUUCGAUUCUCGGUCACAGCA